GGGCCGCUAGCUCAUCUGGCUAGAGCGCGUCAUUUGCAAUGACGAGGUGAGGAGUUCGAGUCUCCUGCGGUCCA
rnacentral:tRNA from 1 species